GACUAACCCGACACCAGCACUGCACAUUACCGGAUGGGUUGAACGCAACAUAAAUAUGAGACAUAAUCAAGGAAACUUAGAACGCUACAGCCCGGAGACUACACAUCGCCAAUUCGGCGUUUUUUUCAACGAGGCAGAUGAACAACAGUUUGAUCUUUGAGACAUUCAAACACACAGGCAGGACUUUUGGGACGACGUGAAAUUUAUCUGACGUGUCACAUCCAGCUGUCUGGUAUCAAAGACAAGAACUAGGAUGGGGAUGUUUCGACCAACUACAAGGUUUCUGUUUCUGUUCAUAUUGAGCUUUGGAGUUGUAACCUACUUGUAUAUAAGCUACAGUGGACUCAGAAAUUCACAGAAAGAGCUUCACCAAUACAAGGAUUCUGCGCGCGAAUUCACCAAGUUCAACCUAAACAAGACAGCUGAGGAAGAUAGACAUCCUUCAAACACAACUGAUGAGGGAGAAGAUACUGCUGUGUCGGAUGUUUUAGAAAAAGCUUUAAAACUUUCUUAUGGAGUAGACUGGGAACGGUUGGAGAAAGAGCAGUCUCGUCGACUCGCAACGCUGAAGGCAUACUGUGCGUCCCAACCGGAGGUACGAUACAAAGACAUUUCGAUCCCAAGGCCUACUUAAGUUCCAGUUACUCUUUUUUGAAAAGAUCAAAACAGCAUACUGCUUCAUCCCGAAAACUGGAUGUUCAACUAUGAAGUUGUUACUUUACAAUCUGGAACAUAAUACAACUGAAAAGCCAAUGCACAAAGUCAAUCGUACAUCUAAAGACAAGAAACAUGUUGGUAUUAACGCGAGGAGACUUAGAAUGUUAAUGGACUACAGCAAGGAACAAGCAGGUUUGCGUCUUUCGACCUUUAAGAAGAUCAUCGUUGUCCGUGACCCGUUAGAAAGGUUGGCAUCUGUGUGGCUCGACAAGUUCGUCAACAGUGAAGUACGUAAAUCGUGGACGGCGAAAUACUAUCAAGAAUUAAGACGGAGUACGAAUCAAAAGCCAACAAACAAGUCAAGUCAAGGUACAGGAGGAGGGAAGCACAACAAUACACAACCAGUGUCGUUUGAAGAUUUCCUCACCGCCGUUUCGAAGCAUACAAUGUACGAUGUGCACUGGGAAUCAUUUUCCAAGCUAUGCCUACCAUGCGAGAUUGACUACGACUUCAUCGCCCACACCGACACGCUCGCUUCAGAUAUUCGACUGUUUUUAAAGAAGAACAACGUCACGGCGAGGGAAGACAUCCUACCGGAACAUCAACUCAGACGGGCGAACGACGAAACUGUUUUCGGCGACGUUUUCGGCCAAGUCCCGAGAGAAAAAAUAAUGUCGAUUCGUAGAAUCUACCAGGAGGACUUUGACAUGUUUGGAUAUUCUUUUGAAGAAGAUUUGGCAAAGAUAGACAAGGCACGGGGAUAGUCUAGUGUCAUUUUGUUGCUAUAAUAAUUAAGUUUUUAGGUUAUACAGCUGUACUUUGGCUAUGUGUAAACGCUAUUUAGGGGUAUUAAGACUGGACGAUUGUUUUAAUGUAGUACGUGUAACCAAUUCCAUUUCAUAGCAAACUGAUAUCUGUGAGACAAAAAUGCGAUAUCGCUUCAU